AGACAGUUAAGCUGAAUUUUUGAGGAGAAUCAAUAUUUUGCCAGGUAGGCAUGUAAGAAAAUUUCCUGCCAGAAGGUGGACAGGAAAGGUUGCCAAGAGGAAAAAUGCCCUGGAAAAAUUGUAAAACCAUUCUCAAGACAGGCUAGAGGGCGAAAGUGAGGACUCCAACAGCAGUGGACAAACAUUUCCCUUUCCUCUCAGAUUUCUCGCACCAUGGCGGCCCCUGCCCAGCAGCCUACUCAGCCUGGCGGCGGGAAGCGCAAAGACAAGGCUCAGUAUGUGUUGGCCAAGCGGGCUCGGCGCUGCAACACUGGCGGGCCCCUUCUGCUAGAGCCCGGGCUACAGGGCAUCCUCAUCACCUGCAACAUGAACGAGCGCAAGUCCGUGGAGGAGGCCUACAGCCUGCUCAGCGAAUACGGCCACGGCAUGUAUGGGCCAGAAAAGCUUACAGACAAGGAUCAGCAGCCCUCUGGAAGUGAGGGAGAAGAUGGUGAUGUGGAGGCUGCCUUGAAGAAAGAAGUUGGUGAUAUUAAGGCAUCUAUAGAGAUGAGGCUAAGAAAAUUCCAGUCAGUGGAAAGUGGAGCAAAUAACGUCGUCUUCAUCAGGACACUUGGGAUAGAACCUGAGAAAUUGGUGCAUCAUAUUCUCCAGGAAAUGUACAAAACCAGGAAGAAGACGACUCGAGUUAUUCUACGAAUGUUACCCAUCUCAGGCACAUGCAAAGCUUUUUUAGAAGAUAUGAAAAAAUAUGCAGAAACAUUUUUGGAACCCUGGUUUAAAGCUCCGAACAAAGGGACAUUUCAGAUUGUGUACAAAUCUCGAAAUAACAGUCACAUGAAUAGAGAAGAAGUUAUCAGAGAAUUGGCAGGAAUAGAGGGCAACCUCAAUUCAGAAAAUAAAGUGAAUCUCACCAAUCCACAGUAUACGGUGGUAGUUGAAAUCGUCAAAGCUGUCUGUUGCCUGAGUGUUGUGAAAGAUUACAUGUUGUUGAGAAAAUACAAUCUCCAGGAGGUGGUGAAGAGCCCUAAGGAUCCAACACAGCUUAACUCAAAGCAGGGAAAUGGGAAAGAAACUAAAUUGGAAUCUGCUAACAAAUCAGAUCAAAACAACAUAGCAGAAGGAAAAAAUAACCAGCAGGUACCAGAGAAUACGGAGGAGCUGGGGCAGACAAAACCAACGUCUAAUCCGCAGGAGGGAGGAGGCAAACCUGAACUUGCAAGUGAAGCCACAGAAGGAUCCAAGUCAAAUGAAAAUGCCCUCUCAUAGGAGGUCAUUUGGUGUUGAGGUGGGUUUUCCAACUGGGGUUCUGUGAGAUGUUGCUGGGGUUACACCUGAAAUUCUGACUAAAAACAGUUUUUUAUUUGUGUGCUG